rnacentral:rRNA from 1 species
GGCAACCUGGCGGCGAGCGGCGAACGGGUGAGUAACAUAUCGGAACGUACCCAGUAAUGGGGGAUAACUACCCGAAAGGGUAGCUAAUACCGCAUACGCCCUGAGGGGGAAAGCGGGGGAUCGCAAGACCUCGCGUUAUUGGAGCGGCCGAUAUCGGAUUAGCUAGUUGGUGAGGUAAAGGCUCACCAAGGCGACGAUCCGUAGCUGGUCUGAGAGGACGACCAGCCACACUGGAACUGAGACACGGUCCAGACUCCUACGGGAGGCAGCAGUGGGGAAUUUUGGACAAUGGGGGCAACCCUGAUCCAGCCAUUCCGCGUGAGUGAAGAAGGCCUUCGGGUCGUAAAGCUCUUUCGGCAGGAACGAAACGGCGGGCUCUAACAUAGCCUGUCACUAACGGUACCUGAAGAAGAAGCACCGGCUAACUACGUGCCAGCAGCCGCGGUAAUACGUAGGGUGCGAGCGUUAAUCGGAAUUACUGGGCGUAAAGCGUGCGCAGGCGGUUUUGUAAGACAGAUGUGAAAUCCCCGGGCUUAACCUGGGAACUGCGUUUGUGACUGCAAGACUGGAGUGUGGCAGAGGGGGGUGGAAUUCCACGUGUAGCAGUGAAAUGCGUAGAGAUGUGGAGGAACACCGAUGGCGAAGGCAGCCCCCUGGGUCAACACUGACGCUCAUGCACGAAAGCGUGGGGAGCAAACAGGAUUAGAUACCCUGGUAGUCCACGCCCUAAACGAUGCGAACUAGGUGUUGGGGAAGGAGACUUUCUUAGUACCGCAGCUAACGCGUGAAGUUCGCCGCCUGGGGAGUACGGUCGCAAGAUUAAAACUCAAAGGAAUUGACGGGGACCCGCACAAGCGGUGGAUGAUGUGGAUUAAUUCGAUGCAACGCGAAAAACCUUACCUACCCUUGACAUGCCAGGAAGUCUGCUGAGAGGUGGAU